GCACAGCCCUGAGCGCUGAGGGGCGGAGGUGUCAUAAGGGAGACCCAGCCCUGACGCGUGAGGAGAACACGGGACACCGCCCCGAGGAGAGCUCAGCGCUGAGGCAUGAGAAAGAUCCAGCCCCGAAGAGCGCUCAGUGCCGGGGGGCGGAGGUGUCUUGAGAGAGACCCAGCCGUGAUGUGUGAGGAGAACACAGGACACCGCCCCGCGUAAAGCUCAGCGUCGAAGCAUGAGAAAAAUCCAGCCCCGAAGAGCUCUCAGAGCGGGGGGACGGGGGCGUCGUGAGGGAGACCCCGCCCUGAGGCGGGGCGGUGUCGUGAGGGAGACUCCGCCCUGAGGCGGGGCCGCGCCGUGAGGGAGACUGAGGAGGUGAGAACACUAAGACGCUUCACGGUACUGCAAAUGCUUUGGUGAUACUGAAUCAAUGCAGUUGGAGGCAGCACAGACUUACCUUACCUUCAUCCUCCCACCAGGGAAGGAUAUGUCCUUGGCACAAGGAGGCUGGCAGGACUUUCAGAAGUUACUCAGGUUCCACGUGCUUUGCAAUCGGGACAUUGUCAAAUGAGCAGGAAUUGGCGAUCCUGUAAAUAAUCUGCAACAAGGGGAGCAGGUGCCAGGGGGCGCAGGAGAGCCGCCGGCAGGACACCCAUCCUCGGCCGGGAGGUGCUGCCGGGGGUAGGAAGAGUCCGGUCUACG